CGGCGACGGGUGAGUAACACGUGGAUAACCUACCUAUAAGACUGGGAUAACUUCGGGAAACCGGAGCUAAUACCGGAUAAUAUUUUGAACCGCAUGGUUCAAAAGUGAAAGACGGUCUUGCUGUCACUUAUAGGUGGAUCCGCGCUGCAUUAGCUAGUUGGUAAGGUAACGGCUUACCAAGGCAACGAUGCAUAGCCGACCUGAGAGGGUGAUCGGCCACACUGGAACUGAGACACGGUCCAG
rnacentral:rRNA from 1 species